CCGAUUCCCGUACGAUCACUGAAGUUUAAGCAACUUCGAGCCUGGUCUGUACUUAAAUGGGUGACCGCUUGUGAAUAGCAGGUACUGUAC